UGGAUAAGAAGGAGCUUCAUUGAUGACAUGUGGCAAGUCAAAAUUAAUGGCUUUAAUGUUGGGAUACUUAGAGACAAUCAUAUUAGCAAUAGUUCCAAUCCCACCACCAACAUCAACAAUUCUAGGUUCUGGGAGUUUUGGACUUAUACAGUGGUCUUAUAAAAAGUUUAUGAUGCAAGAGCGAUCAGACAUGGCAUUAUUGAAAAGCUUGUUGAUCCUUGGAUUUAUGCCAUGAAACUCAAAAAUAUUCAUUCCAAAAGUGUUGUCAAAUAGAAUUCCACCCUCUUUAAUUGAAUUUGUUAAGUGGUACCUACAAUUACAAAAAUAUAAUAUAAAAAAAUCUACAUUAAAAGGAUACAUUACAGGAGAUAUAUGUUUUAAGUCACUUUUAAAAUAUAGUUUUAUAGUUAUUAAAAGUUAAGUACUUCAACAUAAUUUGUUAAUAUGUGAUAUCUUUGUCUCAAAUCAUAAUUCUUUAGUGAAUAAUUUUUUUGCAACUAAGAUUGUGUUAGCUCGAGAGAUUAAGCAAAUGAGGUGAACUCCUCCUCCUUCAAGUUAGGUGAGAUUAAACACAGAUGGAGUUAGUACAAAUGACUUGAAAGCUGGAUGUGGUAGUCUUGUAAGAGAUUGUACGCUUGAAUAGCUUGGAGACUUCGAGAGAUAUUUAGGUUCUUGUCGUUCAUAUAGUGAUGAAGAGCUUCAUAUAUAUUCCAAAGUAGUUGUUCAAAAUAUUUUAGAUUCUGAACAUGAUAGUAUAAUUGAAAUGCAAUUGGUACAACAAAUUUAAUAGUUGUUCAAACUAGAUUGGGAGGUGCGUGUUUGUCAUAUUUAUUAUGAGUCGAAUACUUGUGUAAAUACAUUUGUCAACAUGAGGUGUGAUCUAGGACUUAAUUUGAUGAUUUAUGAGCAAUUUUCUGUUUAAAUUUUUCAUACAUUCUUAACUGAUUGUAUUGGAGUCUUCAUUCCUACGUUAAUUGUUGUGUAAUUUUUUUCUUUGAGUUUCAACCCUCUUUUUCUCAAAAUAAAAAAAAUAGAUGUUAUUAUUAAAUUAACAUUUUAUUAUUAGAGUUUGAUUUAUUUUAAAUAUACCAAUUUGUAAAGGAAAAGAUGUGACUCAAUUUUUAACUUUAAUUUUAGGACUUAAAGUAUUCAAAAAGAGACCUAUUUUUUAUACAAUACACUUGGAUUAACACAUCAUAGACUAAUUUGUUCUCUAGAAUCUAGAAGAAUGAUGAAUGUGGGUUCUAGAAAUUUCAAGUUGUGGGGGCGUCGUAUUAAUUUAUGAAUUUAUAGCAUAAAAUAUUUAUCUUUUAUUUUUUUAAAAUAAAAAUAUAUAUCAUAUUUUUUUUUUGAGAUAUAAUUUUUAUAAUAUUUAAUAAUUUUAUCAAUUUUUUAUUUCUAUAAUUUUCACAAUUUUUAUAUUAAUAAAAAAACUUAUUUAUCUAUUUAUAUAUAAAUAACUAAUGAUAUUUGUCGGCGAUGAUAAUAUUUUAGUGUCUAAACUAAAAUAUAUGAAAUAAUUUUAAUAAAAAAAUUAAUUUUAAAUUAAAUACAAAAUCAAUUUAACUAUAACUUAACUGAAUAUAUUUUAAUUUUAAAAUAGAUCUUUAAAAUUAAAAAUUCACAAACAUUUUUGAAGGAACCAUAAACAAGAAUAAAACCAUAAAAAGAAUAUUUUCAAUUAAUUAAUACACUUUAAGACAAAUAUAUUUUUAUCAAUUUUUAUAUAAAUUUAUGAUGAUAGUAUUUAAAUAUAUUUUUGAAAGUAUAGUGGGGGUAUGCCCCAUACCCAACCACAUGACUUUGUCCCUGUGUGAAACAUAUGAUCAAAUUAAAGAAUAUUUUAGAGUGUCUCGUCAUAAACACAACUAUAUCACUAAACUUGAAAUUACUUACAACAUUAUACAUAUCAAAUUCAUCACUUCUAAACAUCUGGAGUAUCAUAUCAAUGGCUGACACAUGAAUGUAGGGUCAGUCAUAAAUUAUGUUUUCAUUUGGCAUUCUAGACUAUGUCAAGCUAAUGACAGAGUUAUUCAUUAAAACUAUGUCAAGCUCCAUGACAAGUUUUCACUGAAUCAACAUCCUAAGUAUUUUCUUGGCAUUCAGGUGCAUUAUCAAUCAAAUGGCUAUGGAUUGAAUCACUCUUAACUGAGUUGCACGCCAACUUAAUUUUUUACACCAACUUUGAUGCGCGACAAUUUCAAUGCAGUCAUGUUGUCUCACAAUCCCAUAUUACAUGCUAGGAAAAAACACAUAGAACUUGAAAUCCACUUUAUUUGUGAGAGGGUUGUUACUAGCAUGUUUAAUAUCAGCAUGCACCAAGAAUUUGUGGGAGAGUUUUAGAGAUAAUUAUUAGAGAUAAGGUUUAUCAUAACCACUUUUAUAAUCUAUUAUUUAAGCUGUUAUUUCUUUUCCCCUUUUAUCUCUUAUAUUAGUUAGUUUGUUAUUAUUUCUUAGAUUCAAUAGCUUAUAUAAACAACCAAUUGUAACCUUUAUUUAUGAGUAAUAUAGAUGAAUAAAUCUCUAUAGUUAAUCUUCAAUAUGGCAUCAGAGCACGAAGAUUCUCAUGAUGACCAAUCUGAGCAAGAACCUCAAUCCACCAUCAUCCUACCCAACCCUACAUACACUCUAAAUAAUUCGGAUAAUCCAGGAACCCCUCUGUAUACGUGCGUUUUCGACGCCAUGAGAUUUGGUGUAAGAAAUGAUUUUUUCGACAAAUGAUGACAUGGGUUGAAACGAUUUGAUUAAUAAGUAUGGUUCGACACUUCGACAAAAUGGAAGUUUCCUUAAACACUUCAGGUCCGUUUUUCUAUCAGCAAAAAGGUUGCCCAUGGUCGAAGUAAAUUGAUGACUUUUACAAACAUCAUAACCAUAGCUUUUAAAGCUUGUCGAAGGCCUGAUUCCUUCAUCAGUUGGCGUUAGUGAGCACUAAUCUUGGCCAUUCGACAUUCCUAUUGUUUACUUCUCUUCAUCUAUUUCUGGUGCUCAACAGGAAGACUAGCUUCAAAGGUGGCAUUGAGCCAUAGUUGGCAAGAGCCAAAAAGGUCCUGAUAAGUUGAUGUUCCCUUGGGAUUUGUGUUCUUUAAGAAAUGUACGCUCUCUGCUCAGAGAUUCAUAGAGAUUCGCCAGAAUCAUUUCGCUCAAACUAUUUCUGUGCCUGCAUGAAGCUGAUUGGCUAUGGUGUAAAUCUCUUGGCAACUUGAAGAGAGCGAGAACAGAACACAUAUUUUGGACAGCCAUAGUGUCAAAAAGGCUAUAUGUUCGACAUUUAAAACUUCAGUGGACUCUUAUUCGAUGGUAAUCUAGGACAUGAAUAAGGAGUAGGGUUGCCAAGGGCUAGUCUCGAAAGCAAUGUAUCUUCACUUAAGACAGUAGGGUCGAAAUCUAUACAUUGGGGUGAAGACAACAGAUGGCUGCUGCGUCGAAAAGGGUAGGCGUAACCAUCCACAAGGAAGGUGAAAGGUGUUGUAAGUACUAUCGCCAAAGUGAGAGCAAGCCAAAAGCAAUAUUUGGGCAGAUAUUCGGGUCCUACUCUCGACAACUGGAUCAAGGUCGAAAAUGCCUACUUCUUUCCAAAAAGACCCUUUAACUUUUUCGAUUUUAUCUAACCAAGAUACGUAGUCAGAAGGAUCUUUCGACCAUGGGCAGGUUCUAAAUAUCCUGGGAAAAUUCAAAUAGGUUAGUCCAACUACUCCAAUAUCCGUCGAACUCGUGAAUCUUUUUGUUCUACAACUUUCUCUUUAGCGCUGAGGUUUCUUCCAGCGCCUAUGGGUUUUGUGUGAAAGUAAGAUGGAAAAAAUUCUCUUAAACGCUCUGGUUUAAUCUCUGGAUUGGAAGGGGACCUAACAUAGCUGAUAAUUUCCAGAAAUAAGAACAGGGAUUAGUACCUGAAGAUUUAUAGAUGCAGUCUUUUUUCCUUUUCAUUUGGGUUCCGGAACAUACUGUUGAUUUCCAAUGGUCAUUGGCCCUUUUAAAUCAUGCACAGGAGGAAAAGAUGAGUCUUGUUUCUUCUUGGAGUGUUUACUGCUUAAGGGUUUUUGAGGCGCCAUUGUCUGGAAAAAAACUGAAGAAGACUUCUCAGAAAAUUGAAAAGCUGAGAAAUGGGUAUGAAAAAAGGAAAUCUGAAACGUAAAAGGGUUUAAGAAAAGGUUUAAUGGGUAUUUAUAGAAGAGAUGUUGAAUACGUUUUAGAUGUAAUGGUGUUAGUGGGACAGCGUGGCCAUUUCUGAUGGAAAUGAUAAAGAGGUGAGUUGAAAAGAAACCAUGAUGUGAGGAAAUGAUUGGAAGUAGAUGAUGAACGUGGGUAGACGUUGACAUUGUGGAGAAAGUGUAAUGAUGAUACCUGCAUUGGGAAUUGAGAUUAUCAGACUUGCAUUUAAUGAAGAUUAAAUGACAAUGGCAUCAAAACACUGAUGACAACAAAUGACUGUUUCUCCAAGCAGACGUCGAAAACGUCUUUGCUGGGGGGCAAUUUGUAUACGUGCGUUUUCGACGCCAUGAGAUUUGGUGUAGAAAUGAUUUUUUUCGACAAAUGAUGACAUGGGUUGAAAUGAUUUGAUUAAUAAGUAUGGUUCGACACUUCGACAAAAUGGAAGUUUCGUCAUUUCGACAAAGAUGUUUGCACCUAGGAAAGCACUUUUGACAAUAGGGAGAACAUUGCAGUAUGUUGAUAAUUCGACAAAAAUCCUGAAGGAAAACGUCAUUUCGACUUAAAAGUAAAUUUGAAUUUAAAAGGUUGUGACGUUGGCAGAAGACGCGUGGAAGCAUCUGGCGAAAGGAGGAGAGCCAUGUGUCAUAGUUUUAGGAUUUAGUCGUUAAUAACAGUUAUGUUUUUGUGUAUAUAUAGGGUAGUUAUUAUCUAAAAAAGUGUGUGAAGAAUUACUUAUACAAAUUCUGAAAACACUCAAGUACCCGUGUGAGAGAAAAGAGUCAUAUUGGAAAUGUAUUGUGUAAACAACACCAAUUCCUUCAAAGUUUAUUUUAUAAAGUUCAAAGUUCUUUACAAAUCUCUUUUAUGUUUUCCAGUCAUUUAUCUUUCUGCACUUUAUCCUUUUCGACACUUUACAUUUCGUCAGUUAUUUUCCGCCAUUUACUUUAUCUUGUUAAAUUUACAUCCACUUAACAUUGUAAUCAACAUAUUUCGACGUAAAACACUUAGAGAACAGAAAUGAAAGAUAUGAAAGUGAUUUUAGACAUCUUCAAGACCAUCUAGAUUUGCACAUGUCCUAGGAUUUGUGUGGUUGAUCCUGCAAGUAACCCAAUUCUACAAGUUUUGGUAAACCAGAGGUUGUUCGCCAAAAUUCACAGCGAACAAAUUGGCACGCCCAGUGGGACUGUGCAAAAAUUUAGAAAGUUAGAUAAUCGCUAGUCAAAAUCUGUCCUUCAUUUGUAUGAGACUGAGAAGCGGUAAAUUAGCCGUAUCCGAAGUAGAAAUACCUAAAAGAACAAGAGUAAGGAAAAUGGCGAACCAGCCAAAUAAUCCUAACGAAUCCAUCCCAGUAUCUAACCCUGUCCCUUCGACAGAAGGCAAUAUAGGAUCGGUCCCUGUGUCAGAGGCUGUACCUUCGUCAGCGGGGUCGAUACCAGCGGUUUCGAUGUCACAAAACGCGCCUAGUUCGUCCUUCAGGGCACAACAAAUGCCCAUUGGGACACCCCCCCCUGUGGGAAACACUUCUAGGCCUUUUGUAACGAAUUUCACCAUGCCUCCGCCUGGUAGGGAACAACCCUUCGGAAUGCCAACUUCGGUGAUGGCAAAUUUACAUAACUCCCCGUUAAUAUAUUCAGACUCGAUGGCCAACGUGUCUUCACCCUUACAAGGGUCAGGAUAUGGUGGAAACGUGAGUAGACUGAAUCAACAACCACUUUACGUGCCGCCGAUAACAAAUAAUUCGGCGCAAGUGAUUAGACAGCAGAUGGACGAGAGUAAUCAUGAUAUGGUCCAAAUGUUGACGCAACAAAUGGGAGCGGUGUUUAAUCCACUGAUACAGAACACCACUCAAACAAACCAAGCGUUGGCAGCGCAAAUGACGCGCAUUGCUGAUUUCUUUGGAGUCCCUCAAACUCGACACAGAGAACAAGUGGUUCAUAACCCAGCGGUAGCGGUCCAAGAAGAACCUACGAUAAACCAGAUACCGUUAGACAAUCCUCAAACGAACGUCAGAAACCGAGAGGAUGUAGUCGAACAGCCUCGUGUCGAAAUCCCCAUUCCACAAGAGCCUAGAAGGAUAGUAAUCCAGAGAGGCCAGGACGCGGAUGUUGUAUUGCAACAACGGAUGCGGUAUAAUAAUCCGCCUGUCGAAAAUAAUUUGGCAGCCAUGGUCGAAACGAUAAUGGCACAAAAUGGGAUGAACAUGGGUUUACAAAGGCCUAGUUACGCAUCCCCACUAUCAGAAUAUAUUCUGCAAGAAGAAUUGCCACCAAGGUGGAAAGUCCCUAAGUUCACAAAGUUCUCAGGGGACACUAGUGAGUCCACUAUAGAACAUGUGGCACGUUACCUGAUCGAGGCAGGGGAGAUAGCCCGUAACGAAAAUUUGAAAAUAAAAUAUUUCCCUAGUUCCUUAACAAAAAACGCGUUUACUUGGUUUACAUCUUUGCCUGCAAACUCAGUAUACACGUGGACCCAAUUAGAAAGGCUGUUCCAUGAACAAUUCUACAUGGGACAAACAAAAAUAAGUCUGAAAGAAUUAGCCAGUGUCAAGAGAAAACACUCCGAACCAAUAGAUGAUUAUUUAAAUAGGUUCAGAUUGCUAAAGGCUAGAUGUUUCACCCCAGUGCCAGAACAUGAGUUGGUCGAAAUGGCCGCAGGGGGACUAGACUAUUCUAUAAGGAAGAAACUAGAUACCCAGUAUCUGAGGGAUAUGGCACAAUUAGCGGAUAGAGUGAGACAGGUCGAAAGGUUAAGGGACGAAAAAUUCAGGGCAAAUAAGAAUAAAAAAGAGAGGGUAGCCUACGUAGGGGUUCGCCAAGAUGAUGAGUUCGACGAACACGAACCAAGUAGCUUCGACGAACAAGAAAUCGACCUAGCAGAACUAAAACAAGGGCCACCUUAUUCGUGCAAAGUACUAACUCCGUCGAACGGAAACCCAGUCGAAACCAACGAUAAGUUCCCCAAAAGGACUUAUACGUUCGACAUUACCAAAUGUGACGAAAUCUUCGAUCUGUUGGUUAAAGAUGGUCAAUUAAUAAAACCACCAGGCGCUAAAGAACCGCCUAUGGAACAACAGAAAAAGAGAGGUUUUUGUAAAUACCAUAAUUUUCUGGGCCAUAAGACGUCUCGUUGUUUCCUUUUCAGGGAUCUCGUUCAAAAUGCUAUCCGGGACGGAAGGCUGAAGUUUGGUGACAAACCAAAACAACAGAUGAAGAUCGACUCGAAUCCUAUGCAAGCAGUCGAAGCCCACUACGCUGAACCAUCCGUCGUAAACAUGGUGGAGGCCGAAGUUGCUCCUGAUGGCAAUUUGGAAAUGGUGGAAGCCCCUGGAAGCUUCGACGCAAAUGUCAACAUGGUCGAGAUUACUGAUGAUCUCGCAAGCCAGAAAAGAAUAGAAACUACUGAAGGUUUCGACAAGAAGGACGGUGACAAUGCUGUCGAGAAUGUGGAGUUUCGACAAGAGGAGAAUUGGGACCGCUUGGGACAGCCAAGUGGGAAAUAUGAUUUUCUUGUGAAGUACAACGCGCCGGCAAGCUCUCAGAUCGACAUCAACACAAUCCAACCAAGCGGUUGGGGAGAUGCCUCUUCAGAAAACAAUGAGGAGACAGUCGACGCAAUUGAGCAUGCCCCUAAUACGAAGGGGAGGGUUACUGAAGACCCAGCGAUUGAAAACAAGGCUGCUGAAGGCCUUGAUUCUAACAAAGCAAAGAAAGGUGAUAUCGCCAACUGCGUCAACACCAUGGGGCCUUUCAGUGAAGAGGUCACAAAAAUCAAAGCGGAAGCCGCUAACGGUCCUUCGAAGCCCAUGAUCAGUGGGAUUCUGCGUAGGACAAUGGAAGACCCCAGAAGGAAUUGGAACAAAUGCUGUUGCAAACAUGGUCCCAGGACCAUAUCUUGGUGCUGUUGCCCAGAGAAAGAGUUCGACCAGACACCAAAAGGCGUCGAAGGCGAAGAAGAGAGGCUCAUCAGGAAGAUGAACGAAUUAAGCAUCGCCGACGAACAAAAUGUUGGGGUAAAUAUGGUAGAAAUAUCUCAGAAGGACCAGGUCGAAGAGGGCGAAGAGCGUCGUCAGAAAGAGUACCAAAGGCUGGCGUACCCUAGAGAGGAGGAAAACUUAAUGGAAUUCAUCAAGAGGUGCCAAAGGAUGAAAACCGAAGUGAUGUUGUGCCCACGCUGCAGCGCAGUCUUCGACAGGAAGGCAGCAACCAACCUGGAAGCGGUGGAUAAGACCAAAAGGAAAGAGAAUUGGGGAACAGUGAGAUAUGACCCAAGGAGAAGUGAUCACCACCAGUGGAGGCACGGAGAGAGACGCCAGAACACCUAUAAACCAUCUGACAAAGCGACGGACGACAAAUGGGUUCAACCCAUUAGGGACGCCCAGGGGCAGAAGAAAUGGGGAAAGUUCGAGGUUCAGAGAGGCGCGUCGAUGGAGGGCAAGAAGGAAAUGGAAAAACACAAGCCAAGACCAUACCCGUCAGAGAAUUACAAAGGCAAAAAUCCCAUGUCCAGGUCCCAAUGGAGGAGGUUCCAAAGGCAGAAGAGGGCAGAAAUAGAGAUGGCGAAAAAGAACAUGAAUGGUCCAAACGAAGCAGAAUCUAGCAACAAUCGUCAGACAAGGAGCAGGAAAGAGACUCCCCUCCAGAUCAAUCCUAGCGGAGUUGUCGAAUCGGUGGCGUCGAAAGAGAAGAUGCAGGAAGAUGAUGAAGUAACCGACAGUUUUAACUCUGACUCAGAGGCAUCCUUCAACGUGAUUUGCAACGUGGUCUCUGUUCUCCCUAGAGACUAUGAUAGAGUCAUGGAAAUUGAGGAUGAAGGAGACGAAAUGGAGGAAGAAACAAUGGCACACAAGCCCGUCUGCUACUAUGUGAUGAACAACGGAUGCGUCGAAGAGCAGAACGCUUUUUUCGAAAGACCAGACGACUCCAUGAAAGCGCAUUUGAAACCUCUGUUUAUAAAAGGAAAGGUGGAAAAUGUCGGCGUGAAUAAGAUACUGGUGGACGGGGGAGCGGCAGUGAAUUUGAUGCCCCACUACAUGCUGAAGAAGAUUGGAAAAGACGAUUCGGACGCGAAGCCUCACAACAUGGUGCUGUCGAAUUACGAAGGGAAGAUAGGGACAACUAUGGGAGUCAUCCAAGUGAACUUAACUGUAGGAACCAUAACAAGACCUACAAUGUUCAUAGUCAUCGCUUCGAAAGCCAACUACAACCUGCUGCUUGGUAGGGAAUGGAUUCACGGCGUAGGAGCUGUACCCUCUUCAAUGCACCAGCGGAUAGCCAUAUGGAGGCCAGAUGGAAUCGUCGAAAACAUCGAGGCUGACCAAAGCUACUUCAUGACCGAGGUAAACACUGUCAACAGCCAAAGCUUCGACAAAAACCUGGCUCAUAUACCUCCCUGCAGCCCGGCAGAAUUCGACUUGAAGACGACAGACAAUGCCUAUUGCUCCAUGUACCUACAUCCAACGCAUGGUUUCCAGUGGGAUAAAGAAGUGAUUGGCGAAACUUACAUAUGGGGAACCACUCAUAUAGCGCCGACGGGAUGGGGUAGUGAAUUUGACGAUGACGAGUGAACAAUCAGCGAUCGAAAAGAUUACGGCUUACAUGGCCGAAAACAAACUAAAAGAGGCCCUUGAGGCUGAGGUAAAAAAUAUGGCUGUCGAAGCCAACCAAGAGAACUCCAACAAACAAUGUCCUCAAGAAGACGUUGCGGAAGAUCAUGUCACCAACCAAAUGGGCGGAUGGCAACACCAAAAGCUUGACGCCAUUUACGACGACGAACCUCUGGGGUUCGAAAAAGAUCCAGUGUCAACUAACGAGAAGAUGGUGGCGCAGGAUCCUUUAGAAGAAAUAAACUUGGGAGUGGGGGCAGAACAUAGACCAACGUACAUAAGCGCAAAAAUGGACCCCCAGUUCAAGGUCGAAAUAGUCCAGUUGCUGAAAGAAUUCAAAGAUUGCUUCGCAUGGGAUUAUGACGAAAUGCCUGGUCUUGACAGAAGUCUGGUCGAAAUGCAGUUGCCAAUAAUGGAAGGGAAGAAGCCAGUAAAGCAGACUCCGAGACGCUUCGCACCAGAAAUCCUGUCGAAAAUAAAAGAAGAGGUCGAAAGACUUCUAAGAUGCAAGUUCAUCCGCACAACCAGGUAUGUCGAAUGGAUUGCAAAUAUUGUUCCAGUAAUUAAGAAAAAUGGCAAACUUAGGGUAUGUAUUGAUUUUCGAGACUUAAACUCGGCUACCCCAAAGGAUGAAUAUCCUAUGCCAGUGGCAGAAAUGCUCAUAGAUUCUGCAGCCGGCCAUGAGUACUUAAGUAUGCUAGACGGAUACUCUGGCUAUAACCAAAUUUUUAUCGCUGAAGAAGAUGUUCCUAAAACGGCUUUCCGUUGUCCUGGAGCCAUAGGAACGUACGAAUGGGUAGUAAUGCCUUUUGGUUUAAAGAACGCUGGAGCGACUUACCAACGUGCCAUGAAUUCCAUCUUUCAUGAUUUCAUCGAAACUUUCAUGCAAGUGUAUAUUGACGACAUUGUGAUUAAGUCUGUUUCAGGAAAAAAUCACAUAGAUCAUCUUCGACAAUCCUUUGAAAGGAUGAGGAAGUUUGGUUUGAAAAUGAACCCACUUAAAUGUGCUUUUGGUGUGCAGGCGGGUGAUUUCUUAGGCUUUGUGGUCCAUAAGAAGGGGAUCGAAAUAAACGAAAAUAAAGCCAAGGCCAUAAUGGAAGCGAAAGCGCCAUCAACCAAAAAGGGGUUGCAGUCUCUGCUAGGGAAAAUCAACUUUCUCAGAAGAUUCAUCUCCAACCUCAGUGGGAAGACACAAGCUUUCUCUCCUCUACUUCGACUAAAGAAAGAAGACUUCGCAUGGGGGCAAGAACAGCAAGCGGCUUUCGACAAAAUCAAGGAGUACCUGGCUAAUCCCCCAAUCCUGAUGUCUCCUUGCAGAAAAAGAAAUAUGAGAUUGUACAUUUCGGCAUCAGACAAAACAUUAGGAAGUAUGUUGUGUCAAGAAGAUGAGAAUGGCGUCGAAAGGGCCAUUUAUUAUCUCAGUAGAGUCCUGAACGAUGCCGAAACUAGAUAUAGCAUUAUAGAAAAGUUAUGCCUGUGUGUAUAUUUCUCUUGUAUCAAACUAAAGCAUUAUAUAAAACCUGUCGAUGUAUAUAUUUCUUCCCAUUUCGACGUAAUAAAGUAUAUGUUAUCUAAAUCUAUUUUACAUAGUCGAAUUGGAAAGUGGGCUUUAGCUUUAACAGAAUACUCCUUGAAAUAUCUGCCUUUAAAAGCAGUGAAAGGACAAGUGGUCGCUGAUUUCAUAGCGGACCACUCUAUAAACGAAGACGUAGAAUACGUCGAACUGGAACCUUGGAAACUGUACUUCGACGGUUCCAGUCAUAAAAACGGAACGGGCGUUGGGAUGUUGAUUAUUUCUCCUGAAAAAAUUCCAACAAAAUUCAAGUACAAAGUUGAAAGUCUGUGUUCAAACAAUGAAGCAGAAUACGAAGCUUUGAUCGCUGGACUUGAAAUCUUGUUGAAAUUGGGGGCAACGAGAGUCGAAAUAAUGGGUGAUUCCGAACUGGUAAUAAAGCAGUUGACGAAAGAGUAUAAGUGCGUGAAAGAAAAUUUAAUCAUGUACUUUGUAAUAGCCAAUAGACUUCUCAAAGCAUUCGACAACGUCGUCUUCAGGCACAUUCCCAGGUUGAAGAAUCAAGAAGCGAAUGAUCUUGCUCAACUAGCGUCCGGAUACAAAGUGUCGAAGGAAAAGUUAGAAGAAGCCAUUGAAGUCAGAGGAAGAGUCGUGUCCACCAAGUUGUCCCCAUCAGAUCUAGAGUCAAUAAGAUUAGGAUACGGUGACGAAGAAAACUUCGAGAUAUUCAACAUAGAUGAUUCAGGAAUAACAGACUGGAGAAAGCCUGUCAAGGAUUAUCUACAAGACCCAAAUCAGAAAGCGGAAAGAAAGGUAAAAUACAGAGCUUUGAGUUACGUACUUUUGGGAAAUGAAUUGUUCAAAAAGACUGCAGAAGGAGUUUUGUUGAAAUGCCUGAGUGAGGACGAAGCCUACAUAGCCUUGUCGAAUGUACACAGUGGAGCGUGUGGCGCACACCAAGCAGGUCACAAAAUGAAGUGGCUAUUAUUUCGACAAGGAAUGUAUUGGCCAACAAUGCUGAAAGACUGUGUCGAAUUCGCAAAAGGUUGUCAGGAAUGUCAAGUACAUGCAGGCAUACCCCACGUCCCUGCAAGUGAGUUGCACUCAAUUAUAAAACCUUGGCCAUUCAGAGGAUGGGCGUUGGACUUGAUCGGGGAGAUUCGACCAGCUUCCUCAAAAGGGCAAAGGUACAUUUUGGUUGGGAUAGACUAUUUCACAAAAUGGACCGAAGCCAUACCAUUGGCGAAUGUGGAUCAAGAAGCAGUCAUAGACUUUAUCCAAAAAUACAUAAUCUACAGAUUUGGGAUACCUGAGACAAUAACAACAGAUCAAGGAUCUGUGUUCACCGGUAAAAACAUGCAGAAGUUUGCACAAGAAACAGGUUUUAAGCUCCUUACUUCGACACCUUACUACGCUCAAGCAAAUGGGCAAGUUGAAGCAGCCAACAAGGUAGUGAUAAACUUGAUUAAGAAGCAUGUGGGGAAAAAGCCUAGAAAUUGGCAUAAGACUUUGGAUCAAGCCUUGUGGGCUUGUCGAACGUCCCCCAAAGAGGCAACGAAUUCGACUCCAUUCAAGUUGACUUACGGACACGAUGCAGUUUUGCCAGUCGAAAUAUAUCUGCAGUCAGUCAGAGUGCAAAGGCAUCAUGAAAUCCCAUCAGAUACAUAUUGGAGUAUGAUGAUGGACGAACUAGUUGAUUUAGACGAAGAAAGGCUGCGCGCGCUAGACCUAAUAAGAAGACAAAAGGAGAGAGUCGAAAGAUUUUACAACAAGAAAGUAAGAUUCAAGACCUUCUUAAUAGGUGAUCUUGUGUGGAAAGUAAUCCUUCCUAUGGAUCGAAAGGAUAAAUUAAUGGGAAAGUGGUCUCCUAAAUGGGAGGGACCUUUCCAGGUCUUGAGAACAUUUUCAAACGGCGCGUAUGAAAUAGAAGAAAUAGAGAAGGAUAAGAGAAUCCUAAGAAUAAAUGGCAAGUAUUUGAAAAAAUAUAAGCCUAUAUUGCAGGAAGUAAAAGUAGUAACAGAAUAAGUGCAAAACAUAAUUGUGAUAAGAUGGGCCAAAUAAAAAUGGCAUUCAAAAGUUAUUACAAAGAAAGCCUCAAAGGGCUGAGAGUUGCUAAAUAAAUUCGACUAAAAAUUAAAAUUGGCAAAAGUAUCCCUCAAAGUGGCAAACUUCUGCCUCUGGAGUUGGAGUCGAUGAUCACAAAGACUUUUGUGAGUAGAGAGAGUCUCAAUCUCCUGACUAAGUUGAUGGGCUUUCUCUGCAUGUCGAAUACCCACCCUCAAUUCUUCGUCAAUCUCGCUCUGCUUGGGUUGCUGAAUGGAUGCCUUACGUUUCUCCUCUUGAGAGAUCUUUUCUUGAAGUGCUGCUAUCUGUGUUUUCCAUUUUUGAAUAUUGUCAUUGCAAGCAGCAACUUCUUCGACAUACGUUUCAGAGAGCUUUUGCAAUUUUGAAACUUUGUCAGUCGAAGUCGAAACAGCAUCCCAUUCAGCAGUUUGAGUUUCAGACUUGGAGGAGAUUUGAUUGGUAAGAUCCCUUUGACGAUGGAGAUCUGCAGUGGCCAAGUCAAUGAGAGUCAUCAGCUCCAUCACAAAACUUCCAAUCUCAGCAGAAGCUUCCAGGACAUUCACUUGCUUCAGAAUUUUCUUAAGACCAAUUUGAGCAAGGGAAUUUUCUUCCAAGACUUUAAACAAAUCGACAUCAAGGAUUUUCGUUUUGAUUUUGGUCAGGAGGUUGCCAAGUGAUGGUGCUUCAGAAGUUGCCCCAGAAGUGGUCGAACUACUCUGCGAAGAAUCCUGAAAAUUAAAACGGGUGCUAAGCAUGGCUUUCAGAUACUCCAAAGGUCUUUGCACUUUGAGAUUCUCAAGCUCCUCGCGAGAAAAACUGGUCGAACCAGUUGAUUUGCCACUCCCUUGGGCCCGGUCAGGAGCAGGUGGAGUGUUUCGCGUCGAAGUAGGCUCAACCUCUGUUCGUUUCGACUGGUUGUCCCCAUCUCUGGCAGCUCCAUCUUCAGGAUCAUCUUCGACUACAACCUCCAUUUCAAUAUCAUCACCCUGAGGUGCAACAUGUAAUCCUGGAUGAGGAGGAGAUUCAUCUUCAGAAGCUUCACCCACUGUAGUGUCGAAUUCUUCUACGGUUUGCAUGUCAUGGUCACUGGCGGGGAUAUCUUCCUCUGGCGCUGUUUCCUCCAAAAUUUUCUCAGACGUUCCUUCGACAGCCACUUGUUCCUAAAAAUAAAUUCUAAGAUUUAGAAGAAAGAUGUAGGAAAGGUAAACAUAUGCUGUCGAAUUGAAAAAAUUACCUCAGGAAUUUCAGUGUUAAAACCGGAUUUCCCACUCCCCGUAUCUUUCGACUGAGGCUUGGCAGGAGAAGUACUGGCAGAAUCCUUCCUGAUUGGGUUGACGAUGGACCUUUGGGAAGAAACCUUCGUGAGUUUCUUUUUCUUCUGAGGAGGAGGGACUAACUCUGGAGAUUCAUCACCAGACUCUUCACUAGGGACUUUAUCCUCUUUUCUCUCCUCUUCACUCUUCUUCUUUUGGAUUGUUGAGGGUUUUCGACUUACCUAGUCAUACAGGCCAAAGCCAGUUAGUUUUGAAUAAUGGAAGGAAAAUAAUAAGAAAAAAAGUGUUGUACCUUUGUCGAAGGCUUCUUAGCAGUACUGGGCGACGCUUCGACAGCAGCUUUCUUAGCAGGGAUCUUCACGGCUAAGGAAAGAAAGAAAAUUCAGAAACAAAUAUAAGAGAUACAUGAUAAGACAGUUAGAAUAACAGAAAGAAAAAUCAUAUUUUUCUGUGAACACCUUCAAGAAUGGUAUCUUCCACGCGAACGUGUUCUAUUCCAAUAUGAAGGUGUCCUGGAUAUUCGCCCAGAUGAUACUUAGUCGGAACCACACGCUCAGCAGGUUUUUGAUACUUUUGACGAAGAAUUUUCAUAAAAUCCCCACAAAGGAACCAGUCUGGAAGUGGAAAACCAAACGCCACCCCAAAGUCAGCAGUUGGCAAAGGAGGAAACUUUGGUGGAUGACAAUUGAAAGCCAGGUCAUAGCGCGCCUCUGGUGAAAGAUUGGAAGGCAAUGACAGUUUUUUAAACUUCUCUGUCAAUUUACGUUUUAAUUCGGCCGCUGCUUCGCAUAUGGUUCGACUAAGAUCAUCAGGUCUAUACGCAGUUUCAAAAUAUUUUUGAAAUUUCUGUAUUUCCUUAAUAUGUCGUGGAAUACCUUUUUUGGUCCGAUCCUGCACAAAAGCGAAAGCAUUUGUCAAAUGUGUAGCAAAAGCAGCUACGUCAAAAAAUUUGUUGGAAUAAUAAUCCUUCCACCAUUCAUCAAACUCAGGAGUGCAUAAGAAUGAUGGUCGAAAAAUAACUGGUCGAAUGUCGAGAGAAGCAUCAGCUAGUUUCUUCGACAGCUCUUUGCCUUCGUCUUCAGUGUGAAGGGAGUUAUAAAAGAUGAUGGACCCCUUUUUGGGGAAUAUAGGUUGAGGUUUGAUUUGGAUUAGACCAAAUUGUCUAGAAACAAGGUUGGGUUGAUAAACUAUCAAAGCAAUUUGGUUUUUAGUGGUGUUACGAUAAGAAAAAAGGAGCCUAGGGGUCAAGAACGAUUCCCAAACAUUCAGAAAUGUGUUUUCGUCCUUUUGCAUCUCCAAGGGCAGCUGUUGGGUAAACCACUUAGGUCCGAUUUUUCUAUCAGCAAAAGGUGCCAUGGUCGAAGUAAAUUGAUGACUUUUAGCAAACAUCAUAACAUAGCUUUUAAAAGCUUGUCGAAGGCUGAUUCCUUCAUCAGUUGGCGUUAGUAGCACUAAUCUUGGCCAUUCGACAGUCCUAUUGUUUACUUCUUCUUCAUCUAUUUCUGGUGCUACAGGAAGACUAGCUUCAAAGGUGGCAUUGAGCCAUAGUUGCAAGAGCCAAAAAGGUCCUGAUAAGUUGAUUUUCCCUUGGGAUUUGGUGUUCUUUAAGAAAUGUACGCUCUCGCUCAGAGAUUCAUAGAGAUUCGCCAGAAUCAUUUCGCUCAAACAUAGUUUCGUGCCUGCAUGAAGCUGAUUGGCUAUGGUGAUAAAUCUCUUGGCAACUUGAAGAGAGCGAGAACAGAACACAUAUUUGGACAGCCAUAGUGUCAAAAAGGCUAUAUGUUCGACAUCUAAAACUUCAGUGGUACUCUUAUCAUGGUAAUAGGACAUGAAUAAGGAGUAGGGUGCAAGGCUAGUCUCGAAAGCAAUGGUAUCUUCACUUAAGACAGUAGGGUCGAAAUCUAUACCAUUGGGGUGAAGACCAACAAUGGCUGCUGCGUCGAAAAGGGUAGGCGUAACCAUCCCACAAGGAAGGUGAAAGGUGUUGUAAGUACUAUCCCAAAAGUAGAGAGAAGCCAAAAGCAUAUUUGGGCAGAUAUUGGGUCCUACUCUCGACAACUGGAUAAGGUCGAAAAUGCCUACUUCUUUCCAAAAAGACCCUUUAACUUUUUCGAUUUUAUCUAACCAAGAUACGUAGUCAGAAGGAUCUUUCGACCAUGGGCAGGUUCUAAAUAUCCUGGGAAAAUUCAAAUAGGUUAAGUCCAACUCUCCAAUAUCCGUCGAACUCGAUGAAUCUUUUUGUUCUACAACUUUCUCUUUAGGCUGAGGUUUUCUUCCAGCGCCUAUGGGUUUUGUGUGAAAGUAAGAUGGAAAAAAUUCUCUUAAACGCUCUGGUUUAAUCUCUGGAUUUGGAAGGGGACCUAACAUAGCGUGAUAAUUUCCAGAAAUAAGAACAGGGAUUAGUACCUGAGAUUUAUAGAUGCAGUCUUUUUCCUUUUCAUUUGGAGGUUCCGGAACAUACUGUUGAUUUCCAAUGGUCAUUGGCCCUUUUAAAUCAUGCACAGGAGGAAAAGAUGAGUCUUGUUUCUUCUUGGAGUGUUUACUGCUUGAGGGUUUUUGAGGCGCCAUUGCUGGAAAAAACUGAAGAAGAUUUCUCAGAAAAUGUGAAAAGCUUGAGAAAUGGGUAUGAAAAAAGGAAAUCUGAAACGUAAAAGGGUUUAAAGAAAAGGUUUAUGGGUAUUUAUAGGAAGAAGAUGUUGAAACGUUUUAGAUGGUAAUGGUGUUAGUGGGACACGUGGCCAUUUCUGAUGGAAAUGAUAAAGAGGUGGAAGUUGAAAAGAAACCAUGAUGUGAGGAAAUGAUGGAAGUAGAUUGUGAACGUGGGCUAGACGUGACAUUGUGGAGAAAGUGUAAUGAUGAACCUGCAUUGGGAAUUGAGAUUAUCAGACUUGCAUUUAAUGAAGAUUAAAUGACAUGGCAUCAAAACACUGAUUGACAACAAAUGACUGUUUCUCCAGAACAACGGUCGAAACGUCUUUGCUGGGGGGCAAUUUGUAUACGUGCGUUUUCGACGCCAUGAGAUUUGGUGUAAGAAAUGAUUUUUUCGACAAAUGAUGACAUGGGUUGAAACGAUUUGAUUAAUAAGUAUGGUUCGACACUUCGACAAAAUGGAAGUUUCGUCAUUUCGACAAAGAUGUUUGCACCUAGGAAAAGCACUUUUGACAGAUAGGGAGAACAUUGCAGUAUGUUGAUAAUUCGACAAAAAUCCUGAAGGAAGACGUCAUUUCGACUUAAAAGUAAAUUUGAAUUUAAAAGGUUGUGACGUUUGGCAGAAGACGCGUGGAAGCAUCUGGCGAAAGGAGGAGAGCCAUGUGUCAUAGUUUUAGGAUUUAGUCGUUAAUAACAGUUAUGUUAUUUGUGUAUAUAUAGGGUAGUUAUUAUCUAAAAAAGGGUGUGAAGAAUUACUUAUACAAAAUUCCUGAAAACACUCAAAGUACCCGUGUGAGAGAAAAGAGUCAUAUUUGGAAAAUGUAUGUGUAAACAAACACCAAUUCCUUCAAAGUUUAUUUUAUAAAGUUCAAAGUUCUUUACAAAUCUCUUUUAUGUUUUCCAGUCAUUUAUCUUUCUGCACUUUAUCCUUUUCGACACUUUACAUUUCGUCAGUUAUUUUCCGCCAUUUACUUUAUCUUGUUAAAUUUACAUCCACUUAACAUUGUAAUCAACAUAUUUCGACGUAAAACACUUAGAGAACAGAAAUGAAAGAUAUGAAAGUGAUUUUAGACAUCUUCAAGACCAUCUAGAUUUUGCACAUGUCCUAGGAUUUGUGUGGUUGAUCCUGCAAGUGACCCAAUUCUACAAGUUUUGGUAAACCAGAGGUUGUUCGCCAAAAUUCACAGCGAACACCCUCUUGUUUCUUCAACCUUGAAUGGUAAUAAUUACCGUACAUGGCUUCGAACCAUGAAAACCGUUCGGUUUCGUUGAUGGUUCUAUCAAGAAACCUGCCCGUCAUUCUGUAGAUUUUUUCAGUUGGGAGAAAGCAAAUUACAUGAUCAUGGCAUGGAUUAUCAAUGCGAUCGAUCCAAAUCUGCAUGGAAGCAUCUCACACGCAUCAACUGCCUGCGAAAUUUGGAUUGAUCUUGAAGAAAGAUUUGCCCAAAUCAACGCACCACGCAUUCAUCAGUUAUGGCGCACCAUAUGUCUUCUGCAGAAAGAUUCUAACAUGAGUAUAACAAAAUAUUACACCAAAUUCAAGAGCCUUUUCGAUGAACUUGAUGAACUCCAACCGAUAUCGAAGUGCAAUUGUGAAGCCUCCAAAUCUUUAACCAAAAGAGACGAUGAACAAUGUGUGCAUCUAUUUCUUGGUGGUCUUGUCAACGAUCAAUUUGUUCAAAUUAAUGGCAUCAUCCUUAACUCUGAUCCCCUCCCACCGUUGUGGUGCGUUUUCAAUAUUAUACAACGAGAGGAAUCACGGUUAACAACUGAUACAACAAGAAGCGUUAACACCAAUACAUGUUCAUCUUUUCACUCUUCCAAACAUGACAAAUCAAAAUGGCGCGAAUACCCGAAAGUCAAGUGUGAUCAUUGUGGUAAAAAUGGCCAUGUCAAAGAAAAAUUCUUUGAAAUUGUCGAUUAUCCUGCACAUUGGGAAACCAGAAGAACUCCAAGAAGAGGCCACAGAGCAUUAGUUGAAAAACAUGAUGUUGUAGAAGGUUCACCAUCAGGGCAUGCUUUACAUGACACUCGCAAACAAAUAUCCAGUUCCUCCUCUCGAUAACAUGAGCGGUAAUGUACAUGCAACUCAUACAUGGAUACUUGAUAGUGGUGCAUCUCAUCACAUGACUUAUUUACCAUCUAUUUUGCAUAAUAUUAAGCAAAUGUCAAAAUAUUUUCAAAUCAUUACUCCCACUGGAACAUCCACCCUUGUUGAUUGCAUAGAUGUAUUUUGUUUCCCUAAUUUCAUACUACACAAUAUGCUUAUGGUUCCUUCAUUCAACUACAACUUAAUUUCCAUUCAUAGAUUGACUCGUGAUCUAUCUUGUACGGUAACUUAUGACCAAAAUUGUUGCAUAAUCUAGGACCCUCUAAUAAAGAAGAAGAUUGGAUUCGGUAGCAUUUAUGGAGGUGUCUAUUUGUUCACAAAGUCAUCUCAACAUGGAUUCUUAGGGGCAGCUAAGAAAGAUUUAACUACUUUGUGGUACACUAGAAUGAGACACCAUUCUCCUCAAGCUUUACAACAAAUUUCGCAUCACCUUAAAUAUACUUUUGACUCACAUAAAUCAGUCUGAUGUGAUAUAUGUCAUAAAGCAAAACAAUGUAGAAACUCAUUUCCUUCUAGUAAUAAUAAAGCUACUGCAACUUUUGAUUUGAUCCAUUGUGAUCUUUGGGGUAAAUACAAUACCGCUACACAUAAUUGAGCACAAUAUUUUAUCACAAUUAUUGAUGAUUACACUAUAUACCUAAUGAAAUAAAAAACGGAAACACUGUAUCACUUGACUACUUUCUAUAAUCUGUUCAAGCGACAAUUCAAUAAAACUAUCAAGAAAAUCCGCAACGACAAUGGUACAAAAUUUGUUAACUCCAAAUUCUUAAAUUUCAUUCACCAAGAGAGAAUAAUUCACGAAACUUCUUGUGUUUAUGCCCCACAACAAAAUGGACGCGUAGAACGUAAAUAUAGACAUAUAUUGAAUAUAGCGUGAGCAUUACGUUUUCAAGCCAACCUUCCACUACACUUUUGGGGUGACUGCAUUUUGACUGCAACAUACUUAAUCAAUCGUACCCCUACUGUUGCUAAUAAGGUCUCACUCCCUAUGAGCUUCUUUGCGAAAAGGCACCCCAAUAUGAUCAUCUAUGCAAUUUUGGAUGUUUAUGUUGCAUGAAGAAUAUCUCCAAACAACUAGACAAAUUUGAUCCACGAGCUGACAAAUGUUCAUUCCUUGGAUAUCCACAAGGACAAAAAGGCCGGAAAGUUUAUAAUCUUCAAACUCAUACUUUCCAUAUAUCACGAGACAUCUUAUUCUAUGAGGAUACUUAUCCCUUCCUUCAAGCAUCAAACCCAUCUUCCACCAACAUUGUUCACAAUUCUGCAGAAUUCGAUAGUGAUGAAGAACCACAAACUAAUUGGGUUCCAUCUCUUGCAGAUAUUCCUCCUAUCAGUUCACAAGAACUUAACACUGCAUCGAUAAAUCUUGACACUCCUUAUGUUGACAAUUUGCACCAGGACCAUGCAAAUCACUCACAAGAAUCACCUAGUAACACUCCUGCAUAAGAUGAUCAUAACCCAACCAACCCAAUUUCAGCUUCGCAAAUUCCAUCCAAUGAGCAUGAUGCGAUUCAGGAGGAGCACAAUGAGGACCAUAAUCAUGCUGCAAUAGAAUUACCACCAAGAAAAUAACUCAUCACAACACCUCAAGACUUCUAUUGCUACAAUGUGCAUCCUAAUAUCAAAUGUCCUAUUUCAGAUUUUGUCCACUAUGACAACAUCUCCCAGAAUCACAAAGCUUAUCUUGCAGCAAUUAGUAACACUGAAGAACCUACAUCAUACACUCAGGCAAGUAAACUGCAAGUGUGGAGAGAUGCCAUGGCUCAAUAACUUCAAGCAUUGGCAGGCAAUCAAACAUGGGAACUAACCACUCUUCCACCUGACAAAAAGUUAAUAGACUGUCGAUGGGUGUACAAGAUUAAGCACAAAGUUACGGGAGAAAUUGAGAAGCAUAAAGCUUGUUUGGUUGCAAAAGGAUUUAUUCAAACUGAAGGAGAGGACUUCCAUGAAACCUUUGAACCCGUUGCAAAAAUGAUAAUCGUUUGAUGCUUACUAACUGUUGCAACCACCAAACAAUGGAUCCUCCAUCAAAUGGAUGUUAGCAAUGUUUUCCUUCAUGGCAAUUUAGAUGAAGAUGUCUAUAUGAAACCUUCAGAAGGCACAAAACUAUACAUCCUAACAUGGUGUGCCGGUUGAAGAAGUUAUUGUACGGGUUACGCCAAGCCUCUCGAAACUGGUAUUCCAAAUUAUCAAAAGCUUUGAUUGACUAUGGUUUCCAGGAGAGCCAUGUUGAUUAUAGCCUCUUCACGUACGCCAAACCAUCCAUUUUCAUAGUUGUCGUCAUUUACGUUGAUGACUUAAUCAUUGUUGGAAACCAUGAAGAAGCGUGUGCUAAAUUCAAGCACCACUUAAGUCAAUGUUUUCAUAUGAAAGAUCUUGGAAAACUUAAGAACUUCCUCGGUAUCGAACUAGCACACGUCCAAGAAGGUUCAUUUAUCUGUCAGCGAAAAUAUACAUUUGAUAUUCUCAUUGAAUGUGGCAUACUUGGUUCCAAGCCUUCCCUAUUCCCCAUGGAGGCCAACCACAAACUUGCUUUGGCUAAUGGAUCACCGUACUCUGAUCCGUUAAAAUAUAGACAACUCAUUGGUCGCCUCAUUUACCUCACAAUCACAAGGCCAUAAUUAACAUACUUUGUCCAUGUGUUAAGCUAGUUCAUGCAAACACCCCUCCAAGAUCAUUGGGACGCAACCAUGAGAGUCCUUUGAUACCUUAAAUCCUCCCUAGGUGAAGGCAUCGUCUUACCUAAAAAUAAUGACCUCCAACUAGUUGUAUUUUGUGAUUCGGAUUGGGCAUCAUAUCCCAUAACAUGAAAAUUUACAUCAGGAUAUUUGUUGAAACUUGGAAACGCCCCCAUUUCAUGAAAAACAAAGAAACAAGUGACCAUCUCUUGCUCCUUCAGUGAAGCUGAAUAUAGAGCCAUGGCACAUGUUACAAGUGAAAUUAUUUGGCUUCGCAACUUAUUGCAUACUCUUCAAGUCCCUUGCACACAUCCUACUCCAUUAUAUUGUGAUAAUCAAGCAGUCAUUCAUUUAGCCGCCAAUCCUGUCUUUCACGAAAGAACUAAACACCUUCAAGUCGAUUGCCAUUUCAUCAGUGAUCGUAUCCAAUCAGGCACCAUCAGUACGACUCAUGUUUCAACUCAACACCGAUAAGCUGACAUAUUCACCAAAUCUUUAGGAACUAAGAUUUUCCAUGACUUGUUGUCCAAGUUAGGAGUUCAUAAUCCUCAAUAUCCAACAUGAGGGGAAGUAUUAGAGAUAAGGUUUAUUAUAACCACUUUUAUAGGCUAUUAUUUAGGUUGUUAUUUCUUUUCCCAUUUUAUCUCUUAUGUUAGUCAGUUUAUUACUAUUUCUUAGAUCCAAUAGCUUAUAUAAACAAGCAAUUGUAACGUUUAUUUCAUGAAUAAUAUAGAUGAAUAAAUCUCUAUAGUUAAUCUUCAAUAAUAAUAAUAAAAGAAGUGAAACUACUUUAAAAUAUUAGUUAGGAUUAAUUAAAAGUUAAUAGAAAAGUUAGUUAAAAUAACUAACUCUUCACACUAUAUAUACAUAUUAACCAAUCUACUUGGUUAGGGGUGGACAAAAACCUGAAAAACCAUUUCAAUUUGCAAAAACCAAAUUUAAUAUUGGUUAAAUGGGCGGGUCAGGUCGAUCUGUGGGUAAUUAGGUUGUCUAAAUCGGUUUCAAAGAGAUUAAAACAGAUGGGUGCGGAUUCAAAUCUUAGACCCAAUGGUAGCCAAAGCGAUUCAGGAAUGCAUAUAUAUUCAUUACUGUGUUUUAUUUGAGUUCUGCAUGAUUCUUAAGAAAAUGAUUAAAUAUAUUUAUUUUAAUGAUAAAAUUAAUAUUAUUUAUUAAAAUAUUCUUAUUUAAAAUAGUUAGUAAAAUAAUUAAAAAGCAUGAUAAAUAAAGAUGUAGUAAUAAAAAAAAUUAAUAAAUAUUAUAUUCAUAUUCUAAAAAAAAUAUUUAUUUUAAAAUAUAGAAAAUAUAUAAAUAAAACACUUUUUAUAAAACGGAAAAAAAAACUUUCAUAGUUAGAUGUCCAUAAAGUCUCAAUAUUCAAGAAAUGAUAAAUUAUUUGAGUAUUUACUUCUCAUAAUCAAUCACCAUGCUUUUUCUUUAUAUAACAGUUUUAUGGUGACCAUUCCCAUCAGCUAAUAUAUUUAUUUUUUAAUAAGUAAUAAUUUAAUUGUAUUGGAUAGGAUAGUUUAGCUGAUACUUUUAUCUUUAAAUAAUAUAAUAAUUAAUGUAUAUAAAACAUUUAUGAGAAGUAAUCAGUUUAAAAUGAAUAUUUAAUGAUAAUGUUAGUAAUAAUAAAUCGUUAAUAAAUGAAACAUGAAAGUAGUACAUACCACACGUCUUUGAGAACUUGGUCGUGUUGCAUGAGAAAGAAAGAAAUCAUGGAGGCACCAUCUUCAUCUUUAUUAUUAUUUUCGACAAAGUAUUUAGCUAAAGGGUGAACACCAUACAAUCUUUCUUCAUUACAAUUUCCAUCAACUUCUUCAACGGAGCAUGUAAGAAUUUUGUAGCUAGCCAAAAGACGCAACAAUCUAUCCAACAUAGAAGGUGCAUCUGGAUUUUUUAUACCAGGAAUUUGAGAAGCAAUUUGAGAAGAUGAAAGGUAUGCAUUAGGACCAGCUUUGCUAUAACUUCAAUGAUGCCAAGUUCCAAAACUGUUUUUAGAACCAUUGGAACAGAAGAAGCAAAUGAUAGUUCCAUAGCAAAAAGAAGCUUCUUCAUCUGAUACUUUCUCCAUUUUCUCAAUUACUCCUAUAUGCAUAUGAUAUAUACUGUGAUGAUGUGCUUUCCUCUACUUUUUAAUAUAUAUAUAUAUAUAUUUAUAAUUAUAUUAUUAUAUAUAUAUAUAUAUAUAUAUAUAUAUAUAUAUUAUAUUAUAAUAUCACAUACUUGAUAUGGCUACUCCUAUUCAAUUCAAAUUCACUGCUAUCUAUUACUAUCAAUUAUAUAUAUAUAUAUAUAUAAUAUAUAUAUAUAUAUAUAUUAGAUAUAGAUAUAUAUCACAUACUUGAUAUGGCUACUCCUUAUUCAAUUCUAUCACUACUGCUAUCUAUUACUAUCAUAUAUAUAUAAUAUAUAUAUAUAUAUAUAUAUAUAUAAUAUUAUAUAUAGAUAUAAAAUCAUUAAUCACUACUUGAUAUGGCUACUCCUAUCAAUUCAAUUCACUGCUAUCUAUUACUAUCAUAUAUAAUAUAUAUAUAUUUAUAUAUAUAUUAUAUAUAUAUAUAUAUAUUACUUAUAUAUUAUAUAUAUAUAUGAUAUAGAUAUAUAGAUAUAGAUAUAUAUCACAUACUUGAUAUGGCUACUCCUAUCAAUUCAAUUCACUGCUAUCUAUUACUAUUAGAACCUACUUAUUUAAUUCAUAGCACUCAACCACUUUUUUCCAUUUACUUUUAGGAGCAUGGCAGUUGGAUGAAUGAUUAAUACCAUGGCAGUUGGUCAUAUGACAUGGUAACAACUUGCAUAGGAUGUUACAAUAUUUACAAAUGACAAUUUGUCAAUAUAUCAUCAUUUCUAAAUUUCUAACCGGAAGAAAUUUUAAUAAUAAUACUCUUUCAAGAAUUCAAAACAAAAUUAGAAUCAAAUAUAUACUCCAUCAUCCUCAUAAAAAAUCUUUUAUUUGAAUAAUAUGUUAUUUUUAAAAAAAUAUUAAUUGUGUUGAUUUUAAUGAUAAAAUUGAUAUUAUUUAUUAAAAUAUUUUUACUAAUGAUAAUUAAUAAAAUAGUUGAAUAAAGUAAAAAUUAAUUACAUAUAGAGAGAGAGAGAGAGUAAUGGAAACAUAAAUAGACAUUUUAACAGAAAAAAAAUGUAAAUAAGACAAUUAACUAAAAUAAUAAUUAUUGCUAUUACAAGUAAGAAAUAAAGGGUAAGAGUAGCUUGAUGAAUUCAUGAUAAGAUUAAUCAAAGAAGUGAGAUGUGACUUAUCUAUAUCUGUGACAAGAAAAUCACACCGUUGCUACAUAUGAAAUCAGAUAUUCAAGUAACAUAUUAGUAUUAUUUUAUUUUUUAAGAAGGUGGUCCAAGACCACCAUAAAAUAUAUUAGAAAAAAAAUAUAGAUGCAGAAAUAAAAAUAAGGGGAUCAAACCAAAAUCUUUAAGUGUCAAACUCUAUAGGAAGCAAGAUUUAUGGAAUUCUUAGAAAAUCCAUAAGAAUGUAUACAUGAACUUCAUCCCAUCAAGUAAAAUCAUGUACAUGUAAAUCUAUGUUAGCAAGUUUCUCCGUGCAAUUAUUACCUUCCCUAAAGAUAUGAGUUACCAAAAAAUGAAUGGACUUAAUAUGAUGCAAAAUAUUUUGUCACUUGUUUUGAAGUCUCCACAAAACCAUAGAAGGUUUUUCGAACGCAAGAAUAACCAACUUCGAGUCAGUUUCUAAUCAAAGAUGAUUCUAGUUUUUCUAUUUCACAAUCUCAAUAGCCAUCAUAUCAGCCAUAAGUUAUGCCAUGAGGGAAUUCCCUACCCCAAUAUUCAUUGAGAAGCUACCAAGAUGAUUACCACUAUGAUCCCUGUAAAUAUCACCACAGGAAGCAACAUCCAAAACUCCCACAGAGGCACCAUCAGUAUUACAUUUCACUCAGUUCAGAAUAUGAGGGUGCCAUAUAAACUAUUUAACUAUACAAGACUUAGGAGGAUUCAACUUCACAUUGAAGUCAUUACGAAUAUUGAAAUCCAACAUAGAGAUAGAACCAGUUUUGAGAGAAGCAUUACCAGCGCGAGAGAAACCUCCGCAAUAAUGGAAUUGAAUGUCGUCUUCCAAUGAGUUCUGAUGUUGUUAAACCUGAGUAUGUUCCUAGCUUGCCAAAUAACAAUAAAAAUAUUUAUAAUAACUGCCAACACAACCAACUUGCCCUGAGCUUAAAAAUGGUCGUUCAACGCCGCCUACCAAUUAUCAAUGGUCCGGAUAUCAUGAGACAAGAUAGAAAAAUAUAUGAUCAGAACUCUCUAUGUGAACUGAUUCGCUGUCGCACGCGGAUCAAAACGAAUAGUUUUUCAAAAAUGUAGUUUAACGAUAAAUUGACUCAAAUAUCGUUCUCAAGGAUUCUUGUUUAAUUAAUCUACCGAUAGAAAAAAAAGGGCGGGGGNGGGGGGGGUUGGUUUAGAUUCGAAAAAGUGAUUUUUAAAAGUGAUUAUAAAAUAAGCUGACACGAACCAACCUACUGCAUCAUCUUCCGACUUAUCAUUGAUUCUUAUAAAACUCCAAAUCCCUAACGGGUCUGCUCCUAUUCGAUUACAAUUACCAUUAACAAGCGUAAAGGAAAUUAUGCGAGUAAUAUUCUCAAAUUCUGAAUUAAGCAAACGGAUUAAAAACUAUUGCGAAUUAAGCAGACGCAACUUGAUCGUUCGUGAUAAAAUAAAAGCUAUGUUAACACGAAAUUGAUUCGUGAGCUCGUUUUUUUCGAGAUGCGACACAUAUCACACUCUAUCUAGAAAAAAAAUGUUUUUUGAGUGUAUGUAUGGUUACAAAGUUUCCAGUGAUACUCAUCAAAUACCAAGAAUCUUGUAUCAAUGAAAUAUAUCAAGUUAAAUGACUUAUAAUCUAAUGAUUGUCAUGUAUUGAUGCAAUAACUCCACUAGUAACUAUCCGUGACAUCUUAACAAAAAAAAUGUAAGGAUAACUAUAACCAGAUUGUACUUAUUCUUUAAUAUUAUAUGUAAUGAAGUAUUUGAUCCCAAAAAAUAGAUGAGUUGGAAUAUGAUGUUACAAUAAUAUCAUGUCAAUUGGAGAUAUAUUUCCCUCCAUCAUAUUUUGACAUUAUAGUUCACUUAAUUAUUCAUCUAGUUAUGGAAAUCAGAUUUUGUGGUCCCGUUUAUUUAAGAUGGAUAUAUCCAAUAGAGAGAUACAUGAAGAUCUUUAAAGGGUAUAUGAAGAAUCAUCAUUGUCCAGAAGUUUCAAUCACUGAACGAUACAUCAUAGAAGAAGCUGUUGAGUUAUGUUCAAACUAUUUAUUAAAAAUAGACUCUAUAGAAAUUUCAAAGUCUCGUCAUGAUGGAAAAUAUGAAGGCAGAAGUACUCAGUGUUUAAAUGUUAAGUCAAUGGAAAAAUAUGUAGUUCUUCAAGAACAUUUGUAUAUUUAAUAAUUUUGAUGAAGUUCAACCUUCCUCAUCUUCUCACAAAAGACUUAUAAAGGAAAAAAUUUCUCAAAUGAGUGACAAGUGGUUACUGAAAGAGCAUAACAAGAGUUUUAUAAAUUGGUUCAGUAAAAGAAUUUCUAAUGAUGGAAGUGCAUUUGAGACAAUUAAAUGGAUGUUAUACAUGCCUAAAUUUAAUGUAGUAACAGACUUCAUACGACAUUAGUAAACUUUUAUUUUAUACAAAAUCAAAGGAUGAUUAUAAUGCAAUGCAAAAUAGUGGAGUUAUGGUUGAGGUUGAAUUAAUGUACUUCUCUAGUUUCAAAGUUGAUAAUCCUAUAAUGACAUCUAAACCGUGCUUUGGGGUCAUUUAGGAGAUUUGAGAGAUUGAUUAUGUUCUAUUCAAAGUGCCUUUGUUUAAACGCAAGUGGAUUGACAGUAACACCGGUGUAAAAAGUGACGAGUUAAGAUUCACAUGGGUUGAUCUUCGUAAGACAGUUUAUACGAAGGAACCAUUCAUCAUGGCAUCCCAAGUAAAACAAGUAUUUUAUGUCACUGAAAUUUCUGACAAAAGAUGGUCAACUAUUCUCCAAGGAAAAUACAUUCCUCAUAGUGAUAAAAAUCAAGAUUUAAAUUUUGAUAUUUCUGAUACCCCUUCUUUCGCAACACAUGUACCUCUUCAUAUGAAGAAAUUGAUACAUAUGAAGUACAUGUUAUUCGUUAUGGUAAUGAUCAUAAUAAUUGUCAUUUUGGUUUUGAUUCUAUAUGUUAUGUUGUUGUGUUUCUAUAUAUCUGUUUUUAUUCAUAAAAAUAUAGGUUAUAAUGAGAUUUAUGUAAAAUAAAAAAAAAUAUUUUAAAAAUAAUAUAUUUCACCACAGUUUUUUCUUCCACAGUAGAGAAGCAUCUAAAAAGCACCAUUUAAAAAAAUGUAAAAAUUAUGAUGUUGGGUAUCGAACAUGACCUUUCCAUAUUUCACUACGGUUGGGUAAUCCAACUGUCGUGUAAAGUGGUUUGCUAUCAGUAGAGAAGCAUCUAAAAAGCACCAUUUAAAAAAAUGUAAAAAUUAUGAUGUUGGGUAUCGAACAUGACCUUUCCAUAUUUCACUACGGUUGGGUAAUCCAACUGUCGUGUAAAGUGGUUUGCUAUCUAGUUUUUUUUUACCACGGUUAAUGCUGGAAAUUAAUUCACUUUCUAUGACACCCUUCGUUAUCAUAGACCAUCAACCAUUGUGAAAUCAUUAUUAGUAUUGAUCUAAUCUUGCUCUGAGAUAGCAUCUUCAACUACAAGCAAGGAGUUCACAUUAGCUUUGAUCCUAAGAACAUACUCAGUAAUGGGUCUAAUUGCCUUUCUUCAUCACUUUCAACUCAAUUCUAAAUUGUCUAACUUACGCCUUUAUAUGAGCAUUAAAGUAUCUGUCAAUUUUGUUCCAUACAUCAAAUAUAUACUUGCAUGACAAGAAUCUAGCUAGCAUUGAUUCUGAAAUUACAGAAAGAAACCAUAUGAACACAACUUCAUCCUGCAUUAUCCAAGACUUGUACUUCUUAGAGCUUUUACUUCGACUUUCUUUGUUUUCUCUUUUCCACCAGAGGUAUAAGACAACAUGGUAACAUCCAUUUGAAACACAGAUUUUGAGGAUAAGUUUGAGUUUGGAAUUACUGGAACUAUGGAUUCAACUACUAUCACCUUUCCAAUGACCGGAAGUGAAUCAUAACAAUUCUUCAAAAUUUUCAAACAUUGCUCUUCAUUCCAAUCAUGACAAAUCGACUGUAUUCCAAACAUAUUUUUAGUUUUUUUCUUCUCAAGAUACUUAUAUCUUAGAAACAUGAUAGAAAACAAAAUAACAAGCUUCAAAAUAAUAAGAUCAUCACCUUCAUGAAAAUGGCAUCAGCUUUUGGAACACUCACAAACAUGUCUCCACCAACAUGCUCCACACCUUCAUUAAACACCCAUCACUUAUUAACAAUAAUACAGACAUGAAUUCAAAUGCUAAAGAGAAAAAAUAUUGUUGGUGAAUUUCCAAAAAUCUCAUUAACUCUGUACUUUUAUAAAAAGUUUCAUAAUAUUUUUUUAUUAUAUAAUUAUUAUCAUUUUUUUAAUAUAUAUAAAAAGUUUAAAAAAUUUAUAUUAAAAACAAAAGGGAAUAUAAUAUAUAAUUAAAAUAUAAUAGAUUGUUUAUAUCGGUAAGAGUAUAAUUGGUUAAUAUGGUGUAAAAAUAUUAUAAUAUAUAUAAAAUAGUAUAAUAUUUAAAUAAAAUUUCAAUUAUACGUAAAAUUAUUGGGAAAAAUCCAAAUUUCACAUUUGAUUUAAAGUCGAUUUCGAAGGGAUGAGUUAGGGUAAAAUUCUAAUUCUAUAAGAAAUUAUAAAAUGACGACGUAUAUUAAUUAAUUAAUUUUUAAUAUUAUUUAUACUGUCUCCACAGUAAAAUAUAAUUGAAUAUGGUUGUAUGAUUUAUGUCAAUAUUUUCAAAGUAUUCUUAAUGGAAUUCGCAAAUUUACUCAUUUUGCAUCCAAUAUAUGCAAGUUAGAGGAGAAGAACUGAACCUAAAACUUUUUAUUACCUUACCUUUUUCAUAUAUUUUCUAAACACCUAGUGCUUGCAAUCAUGAUUUUAAAUUGCAGUCUGCGACUGUAAUAUUGUUGAUUCAGAAGCUUCAAGUAGUUUCCGCAAUUGCAUGUUUGGACCAUUAUUAGAAAUCACAUCAGAAACUUUAUUCAUGUUUCUCUAAAUAUUUUUGUUAAAACUCAAAAUUUCAGAAUUCAAAAUUCAAUUUUCUUCCUAUAUAAUAAAAUAUCUUAACAUCAAUAAUUUUUAACGAUGUAUUUCAAAUAUCUUUUAAUAAAAACUUCACACAUGUGCUUUUCAAUAACCACAAUCACAAUAUUUACAACUGCUAUUGUAAUCACAUUUUAAAAUCAUUCUUGCAAUUUUAAGGAUGAAAGAUAGACUCAAAUUUGUUUGGUCAACACUAUGAAUGUAUAACCUUCAUCUAUAUUUUCAAAUAAAGACGAACCUGGAUGAGAAGGAGCUUCAUUGAUAACAUGUGGCAAGUCAAAGUUAAUGGCUUUAAUGUUGGGAUACUUAGAGACAAUCAUAUUAGCAAUAGUUCCAAUCCCACCACCAACAUCAACAAUAGAUCCAAGACCCUCAAAACCUGAAUAUGUCACCAGAAUAUUUUUCAUUAUGAUGCAAGAGCGAUCAGACAUGGCAUUAUUGAAAAGC
rnacentral:lncRNA from 1 species